AGGGCUGACGUGAAGUCCUAGUAAGGGGAAAAAGGGGAUAAGCGGCUCAAGAUGUCAAAUUUGAUUGUGGGUGGCCGCUAGGCGCUGGAGCUGGAGCACACAGGGUUAAAGAGCGCCCUUCUCGGGGUCUCCCCUCCUCAACACCCCCUCCCUUCCGGGGGAUUUCGGGCCCCAGCCCCUCUGACGUCAGUGGGGUUGCUAUGGCAACCGCCCGACUUUCCCAAAUAAAAUUACUGCGGGCGAGCAAAGUUUCCUGGAGUCGGCUGCGGAGUAAACAAUGGCAGGGGCGGGGCUCGGCGCGGGGGUCCCGAGGCCGGAGCUGGGGAUCCCUGUCCCAGGCCUCUGGGAGAUGGGUCCGGACAAGGGAACUGAGCGAGCGGACGCCCGGGCGGCUCCCACGCGUACACUUCCUGUCGCCGGCUGCGGGAGGAGAUGUCAAACACCUGCCUAGAACCUGGGAGUUUAGCAAAAUUAGCAAUGCACCUGCGGCUGACUUUGGACUGCCACCCCUACCCAAGCAAGCUGCUCCAGGAGAGCCGAUUUGACUCUUAAGGUCCAGGUCCAGUUCCCACCAGCCUUUCUACAGGCAUACAGGGGAGUAACCUGCUCUGGUGCCUCCACAGACCAACCUUCAGUGUACUGCCUGCACAGAGUUCUGCGGCCUCAGUUUCCCCACUUAUUAAAAGCAGGAGGAAGAGGCUACCUCCGGACCGGUUUGAGAAUUCCAUGUAUCAAAAGACCACUCCAGCCUGAGAAGGGCCUUCUCUCCUUGAGACCUUGGAGCCUUCUCAGGAGCGACACAGACAAGUAUACCAGGCCUGGGGGCACCCAGAAACCUCCACAUGGGGGCAAGAUUUAAGAAGGGGCCAGAUACGGGAUACAUACCUUUAGUCCUAGCACUCAGGCAAGUCACUUUCCCUUUGUUCAAAGCCUGCCUGAGCUACAUAUUGAGGCCCAAGCCUGCCAGGAAUGCAGAACCAGAUUCCAAUGGGUACCUGGAGAGAGCAUCAGCCACUCUUCUUCCAGAGGACCCAGGUUCAAUUCCCCGCACUCACAUGGCUGCUGACAAGCAUCUAUAACUCCAGCUCCAGAGGCCCAGUCGUUCUCUUAGACAUGCACACAGGCAAAACACCAGUACGUAAUAAUAAAUAAAUGUGAAUGAAUAAAUAAAACUUUAAAGAUUUAAUAAAACAUAA